rnacentral:rRNA from 1 species
GACGAACGCUGGCGGCGUGCUUAACACAUGCAAGUCGAACGGAAAGGCCCUGCUUUUGUGGGGUGCUCGAGUGGCGAACGGGUGAGUAACACGUGAGUAACCUGCCCUUGACUUUGGGAUAACUUCAGGAAACUGGGGCUAAUACCGGAUAGGAGCUCCUGCUGCCUGGUGGGGGUUGGAAAGUUUCGGCGGUUGGGGAUGGACUCGCGGCUUAUCAGCUUGUUGGUGGGGUAGUGGCUUACCAAGGCUUUGACGGGUAGCCGGCCUGAGAGGGUGACCGGCCACAUUGGGACUGAGAUACGGCCCAGACUCCUACGGGAGGCAGCAGUGGGGAAUAUUGCACAAUGGGCGGAAGCCUGAGGCAGCAACGCCGCGUUCGGGAUGACGGCCUUCGGGUUGUAAACCGCGUUCGCCUGUGACGAAGCGUGAGUGACGGUAAUGGGUAAAGAAGCACCGGCUAACUACGUG